ACGUCCUUACCACGCUGAAUACACCUGGUUCUCAUCCAAUCACGGAAGUUAAGCAAGAGUUGGGCACAAUCAGUACUUGGAUGAGUGACUGCCUGGGGUACACCGUGUG